rnacentral:rRNA from 1 species
GACGAACGCUGGCGGCGUGCUUAACACAUGCAAGUCGAACGAUGAAGCUGGAGCUUGCUCCGGUGGAUUAGUGGCGAACGGGUGAGUAACACGUGAGCAAUCUGCCCUUGACUCUGGGAUAACUGCGGGAAACUGUAGCUAAUACCGGAUACGACACCUUCGGGCAUCCGAUGGGUGUGGAAAGAAUUUCGGUCAAGGAUGAGCUCGCGGCCUAUCAGCUAGUUGGUGAGGUAAUGGCUCACCAAGGCGACGACGGGUAGCCGGCCUGAGAGGGGGACCGGCCACACUGGGACUGAGACACGGCCCAGACUCCUACGGGAGGCAGCAGUGGGGAAUAUUGCACAAUGGGCGCAAGCCUGAUGCAGCAACGCCGAGUGAGGGAUGAAGUCCUUCGGGUUGUAAACCUCUUUUAGCAGGGAAGAAGCGAAAGUGACGGUACCUGCAGAAAAAGCACCGGCUAACUACGUGCCAGCCGCCGCGGUAA